CGUUGAGUCUGGGCGCAGCCUGAUCCAGCCAUACCGCGUGGGUGAAGAAGGCCUUCGGGUUGUAAAGCCCUUUUGUUGGGAAAGAAAUCCAGCCGGCUAAUACCUGGUUGGGAUGACGGUACCCAAAGAAUAAGCACCGGCUAACUUCGUGCCAGCAGCCGCGGUAAUA
rnacentral:rRNA from 1 species